UACUAGAGUAGCACUCGCAUAUCAAUAAGCGGAGGAAAAGAAACUAACAAGGAUUCCCCUAGUAACGGCGAGUGAAGCGGGAAGAGCUCAAAUUUGAAAUCUUAAAGGGUUUCCCUUUACGAAUUGUAGUUUAAAGAAGUGUUUUCUGUUGAGGUUUUGGUAAAAGUUCUUUGGAAUAGGACAUCAUAGAGGGUGAGAAUCCCGUAUUUGACCUUUACUUUCAACUUUGUGAUACACUUUCAAAGAGUCGGAUUGUUUGGGAAUGCAGUCCAAAAUGGGUGGUAAAUUUCAUCUAAAGCUAAAUAUUGGCGAGAGACCGAUAGCGAACAAGUACCGUGAGGGAAAGAUGAAAAGAACUUUGAAAAGAGAGUUAAACAGUACGUGAAAUUGUCAAAAGGGAAGCGUUUGACACCAGUGUUGUUUUUCUGAAAAUCAAUUAAAGAACUGUUUAUGCUAAGCUGUUUAGACUUUAUCAGCUAACUGUUUAGUUUUGAGCUUUUCUUUAAUGCACUUUUCAGUUAACAAGUCAACAUCAAUUUCUUUUGCUGUAAAAAAGCUUGAGGAAGGUGGCUUGAGAUUCGUCUUAAGUGUUUAUAGCCUCUUGCCUAUGCAGUCGGAGAGAUUGAGAUCUGCAGCGUAGAUCCUUCGGGGCUAAAUGCAUUUGUGCUAAGUUAUAGCAUUUUAUAGACAACUUGUUGACUAUGAUUUGUCUUGUAGCUUACUCGCUUAUGUUAUUUUACCUACGCUUAGGAUGUUGAGUCAUCACACAUCUCU
rnacentral:rRNA from 1 species